CUAGCCGGCUCUAGCUCGCUGCCCCGCCGCGGGCGCAGAGCUGGCGCUCUAGCCCACGGAGUUGGCCAGCUCCUCUCGCCGGCCCCAGGAAAGGGUUCCAAGUCGGUUUAGUACCCGACGCUGUCUGGGAGUUCCGGGCGUUUCGGCUCCUUGGUCGCAGAGGCAGGAGGCGUGCGUGGGAGGAGGACUCGGGUUAUAUACUCCUACGUCCUGGGACGGAAUAGUUACCACCUCUGGGGCAGGAACUCUUCUCUCUUUUGUUAAUAAACUUCUAACUCCCUCCUCAGACCCGACUGCAUGUCUGUCAUGGACCUCGCCGGUACUUGCUCCAGCUUUCAGUCGGACUUGGAUUUCUGUUCAGAUUGCGGCUCGGUCCUGCCUCUGCCCGGGGCUCAGGAUACGGUCACCUGUACUCGCUGUGGCUUCAACAUCAACGUUCGGGACUUUGAGGGGAAGGUUGUGAAGACUUCAGUUGUGUUCCACCAACUGGGGACAGCCAUGCCUAUGUCGGUGGAGGAAGGGCCUGAGUGCCAGGGACCUGUGGUUGACAGGCGCUGCCCUCGAUGUGGUCAUGAAGGAAUGGCAUACCACACCAGACAGAUGCGUUCAGCCGAUGAAGGGCAAACUGUCUUCUACACCUGUACCAACUGCAAGUACCUUGAAGCACUAUCAAGCUGGAAUUACUUUAAAUAAAUUCUUGGCUUCAUGUUUUUUGGAGCACACAGAUAGUAUGAAUUUGAGCUGCAAAUCCAUGUUCCAGGAGAAGGAAGACUCUUGACCUUUUUCCUGGGCAACUCAACAGUCCCUCCCUCCUUUUGGAAGGUGAAGGAUACUGGGUUUUUAGAUGCCUUGUCCAUCCCAUCUGGUUGCAAUGUGUUGCUCCUAGAAGAGAUUCAGAUCAUCAUGUGGGGAUUACCAUUGUUCCUGGAGUACUCCUACCCUUAAUUGAAUUUCCUUAUUAAAGUUAUAUUUUCCUAAAAGACCCUGA